rnacentral:lncRNA from 1 species
GGUUUCUUACCAGUUUCACUUGUCAGUUGUCAGUUGUCAAUUGACUAUUCUAGACGUCGAAUGGGAAAUAAAAAUUCACCACGUCAAACUUUGUAAGAAUUUCUUGAAAUUCUUGAGUUCAUACAUGGAUCUGGAAAAAAAGUGAGGACGUGCCAUUCCCAGCACGUGGUCGUUCCUGGUCGAUGAUUACCAAAUUCAUCUCGAAAUAUACCUCGCUUACCACAUGUGCAGGACGACUCCAUGAAGAAGGAAAUGAAUUUUUUUCUUUUUGUGGACUGAUCUUAAUCUACCAGAUGUGGGAAAGUCGCAUAAAAUCUUUUUGUAGAUUAAAAAUGAUGAGAGCCAUCCCAUUCUUCAAGUUGUACCUCAGUAUGUGAGGGGUUAUUAAAAUCUACACUACCUGUGCAGGAAGACUCCAUAGGAAAGGUUGUUCCAUAUACGGUAUUGCAGUGAAGUUCUAACUACCAUCCUACUUGCGGUUUUUUAAUUUAAUGGUACGUCAAUAAGCUGCUGUGGAGUGUUUUUUGUUAUGGCACACUCCUUUUGUCAAUAUUUACCCCGUAUCGAUGUUUCCUGUGUCAAAUGGCGUUAUUAUUUUUUUUAUUAUUAUUUAUUAUUUAAUAAAAGAAAAUAACUGUAACAAAUACAACUACUAGCAUGUUUCCCGAUUUAGGAGCUUGAUAACAAAGCUACUGAAUGUUUUUCAUCUGUAAUUUCUUUCAUGUUUAACCAUAUUUUCUGUGACCAGAGAUGAAAACAACUUGCUGCUUUUUUGAGAAGAAUAAGAAUGGAGGUUGAAUAUUUUAAAUAUUAACUGUAAAUAAAUAUUAAAAUGAAGAAAA